UUAAAUAAAAUUAGAUGUGCUCAAGAGUAAAACAACAUCACACAUAUGCAAUAUGCCAAUACUCAUUCUUAAUUAUUAGAAGAAACCAAACCAAAUAUUUAUAAGAGCCAGAAAUGAAGCCAAACCAAAUACUCAUUCUUAAUUAUCAGAAUAAACCAAACCAAAUUUCUUAACUAUGCAAUACGCCAAUACUCUUAUAGUAAUUAAAUGAAAAGAAAGUGUUUGAUAAAAGAAGGAAAAACAGAAGAGGAAGAGUUAGAAGUACAACCCAUUUGUAUUAGACACGUUACAUUGAUACUAAACACACGCAUUGAAGAGCUUGCACAAACAUUUGAAAUAAAAAUUAACCAAAAUUGGUUGAAGGAUUUGCUUAGUCGAUAUGAGCAUGAUCCUAACAAUCCUUGAAUCUUCUCAUUCUUGAGUUUGGGAUUUUUUCCAAAUUGCAAGGAAGAGAGAAUGUGAUCAAUCUCCCUCCUUGCAACGCCACCAAGGUUUGCCCCGCCAAGAUACAGGUUCCAUUUCUCGAUGACCAACCCAACUCAAAGAAAAUAAUCCUCCCAGCCUAGAUUAGCAUCAGCAGGAAUUCCCAGAAUGAAACUUUACUUAAAAUUCAGUGACUCAGUUGAGAUUGAGCUGAAAAUUCAGUGACCACUGAUAAAAUUUACUCUUUUCUCCAAUUAUAUAUGCACAAACAGUAACGAAGAGGAAACAGAAAAAUAUACUGGAAGCAUAAAAAAGGUAAUGUUGAUUUUUAUGCAAACAGUGAAAUCAUUGGCAAAAAGAGAGGGGGCAACCACACUUUAUAAAUCCAAUAUCAUUGUGAAGUUUACCUGCAUUAACUUACUACAUUAUUCACCUACCCUUUCACCUUGUCUCUCACUUUUUCAUUUUUCUCAAAAAAUCUUCUUCUUCUUCUCCUUCUUUUCUAACCAACCUUCCAAGAGAGGCUAAACUCAAAGCUGUACUUGGAGAACUGCUAACUAUUGAACCAGGAGAAUCAAGCACUGUUAAAUGAGCUGAAGCAGAGGCUGUCACAGUCUCAUGGCCCAAAUUCCAUCCCUGAUCUUAACAUGUCAGUGGCUCCUCCAAUUCCAAGGCUUCCUAAUCUAGCAAGAAAUGAUCAAAAUUCCCCACCUGUGACUCCUUUUUGUGCAUCACCAUUUUGGAGUAAAAACUAGUAAUUUGCAGUUUCUGUUAUUACAUAGAAAAAUAGGUAGUUUGGAUCCACCAAGGGCAAGGGGUUAUCUUUUCUAAAUGUAAUGUUUCAUAUCUAUAUUUUUUUGUUGGUUGGGUGGGUUUAGGGUGGUGGGGUGUUAAGGUUCGUUUCUGAUCUUCAAUGUAUCAGUCUCAUCUCUUGAAACAAAUAUAAUCUCUCUUCUUAAUCUA